GUUUUUUGUUUUUAAUUAAAAAAAAUUUUUUUUAGCUGAUUGUGUUGGGUUGAGGUUGCUUUCUGGGGAAGAAAAGGUGUAGGAGUUGAGACAUCUGGAGAUAGCAGGAAUGGCUGAGUUUUUCUUUUGUGUCUCCUUUAAGAAAACAUCCUACUAAAGCCCUGGGAAAAGAGACAAAUGGUGAAGAGGAGAAUGAAAGGUUGCAGGAGGGAGCUCCUGUUUUAGCCCUGCCACCUACCUGGGGGCCCUCUGGCUACCAGUGUCCUUGGAGGGGCUUCCUUGCUGCCUCUCCCACUAAGGUAGAUUUUCCCCACCCUGCUUAAGGCUCCACAGGGCCAAGGGUCUUCAGCUGUCAAGACCCGGGUUCUGAGUAGCAUAGGGCAAGAAAGCACAGAAGUAUAGAUUGGGCCCUAUAGGACCGUUUGUGCUUACAGUGGCAGGGGGCAGGACUGGUAUCCAUGCUGUGGCUGGCUGGAGACUUGGCACUGCUCCCAGACAACUCCCACCCAAGCUCUUUAGCUGCCUCUAUUUCCCUUCAGCAUGAGCAUUUGGGGAAUGAUGGUGACUGGUGACACCUCUGCCCUGAGAACCCUGCCACAGAACCUACUUCUUUCCCUCUCCUGCCCUGGCCUCCCCACUCACCACCUUUCUGCUGUGUCCCUAGGAGCUCUGGAGCCUUAGGACCAUGGACGCUCUCAAUAGGAACCAAAUAGGCCCUGGAUGCAAGACCCAGACCAUGGUGCAGAAAGGACCCUUGGACCUGAUCGAGACAGGCAAAGGGCUGAAAGUGCAAACGGACAAACCCCACCUGGUGAGCCUGGGCAGUGGGCGACUCAGCACAGCCAUCACCCUCCUGCCGCUGGAGGAAGGUAAGUGUGAACAGGGCAUUUCACUCACCACCCCUCUAUCCUUAUAGGCAUUCCUGCCCUGGAGGCCCAGCUCCUGCAUGUGUUGGGGCCCUUCUACUGUCUGCUGGUGCUCGCCUCCCCACACCACCAGCUUGCUUCCCUUGUCGCUGCCUCCCCAGACUGCCUGCCUUCCUUGGUAGAUGAUCUGGUUCCACGACUGGGCUUAAAGAUCAGCUUAGAAACAAGGAGGAGAGGCCAGGUGCGGUGGCUCACGCCUGUUAUCCCAGCACUUUUGGAGGCUGAGGCAGGCGGAUCACGAGGUCAGGAGUUCUAGACCAGCCUGGCCAAUAUGGUGAAACCCCAUCUCCACUAAAAAUACAAAAAUUAGCCAGGCGUGGUGGCACGGGCCUGUAGUCCCAGCUACUCAGGAGGCUGAGGCAGAAGAAUCGCUUGAACCCAGGAGACAGAGGUUGCAGUGAGCCGAGAUCGUGCCACUGCACUCCAGCCUGGGCAACAGAGCGAGACUCUAUCUC
rnacentral:sRNA from 1 species